CUCUCGUUAGCACUUUUUUUGCUCUCCUUGAAAAUUAUACUAUUAAGUAUAUGUUUUUUUAAUCAACACUUUCCAUUCCAUGUUUUAAAGGUCGUAUACCGUUCUCUUGACGUGCAGAAGGACGACGGAAGUUAGAGGAUUGCACGAAAUCCCCAAUUUUUAUUCUUGCCUUUUAUAUAGGCCGGUAUAACUUAUCAAUGAAUAUGAAUGGAACAUAAUAUUAUGCAAAAUAUAUUACACUUUCUUUCCAACAUGUUAGUUUGAUAUUCUACAUCCUGUCUACAGAACACUCUCAUUGGCAUGAUCGGGGGAACUGUCAAUAUCAUU